GAUGAACGCUAGCGACAGGCUUAACACAUGCAAGUCGAGGGGCAUCACGGGUAGCAAUAUCUGGUGGCGACCGGCGAACGGGUGAGUAACGCGUAUGCAACCUACUUGUAAACGGGAGACAACCUGGAGAAAUUUGGGCUAAACUUCCAUGAGGCAUUAUUACUGCAUGGUAAUGAUGUCAAACGUAAGGUUUACAAAUGGGCAUGCGUAUGAUUAGCUAGUUGGUAGGGUAAUGGCCUACCAAGGCUAUGACGGGUAGCCGGCCUGAGAGGGUGUCCGGCCACACUGGAACUGAGACACGGUCCAGACUCCUACGGGAGGCAGCAGUGGGGAAUUUGCGCAAUGGGGGAAACCCUGACGCAGCGACGCCGCGUGGAGGAUGACGGCCUUCGGGUUGUAAACUCCUGUCAGAAGGGACGAAAUCCCGCAAGGGACUGACGGUACCUUCAGAGGAAGCCCCGGCUAACUACGUG
rnacentral:rRNA from 1 species